rnacentral:rRNA from 1 species
GAUGAACGCUGGCGGCGUGCCUAAUACAUGCAAGUCGAGCGAACGGACGAGAAGCUUGCUUCUCUGAUGUUAGCGGCGGACGGGUGAGUAACACGUGGAUAACCUACCUAUAAGACUGGGAUAACUUCGGGAAACCGGAGCUAAUACCGGAUAAUAUUUUGAACCGCAUGGUUCAAAAGUGAAAGACGGUCUUGCUGUCACUUAUAGAUGGAUCCGCGCUGCAUUAGCUAGUUGGUAAGGUAACGGCUUACCAAGGCAACGAUGCAUAGCCGACCUGAGAGGGUGAUCGGCCACACUGGAACUGGGACACGGUCCGGACUCCUACGGGAGGCAGCAGUAGGGAAUCUUCCGCAAUGGGCGAAAGCCUGACGGAGCACCGCCGCGUGAGUGAUGAAGGUCUUCGGAUCGUAAACCUCUGUUAUUAGGGAAGAACAUAUGUGUAAGUAACUGUGCACAUCUUGACGGUACCUAAUCAGAAAGCCACGGCUAACUACGUG